rnacentral:lncRNA from 1 species
ACCCUACUGCUUCUUAAAAUUGAGAGAGUGAUUUUUCCAUGAUAGGAUAGUGAAUCAGCUGUAUUUCUGCCUCUAAGGAACUAUAUUUUAAAUCUCAAUCCAAUUACAUUAGCCUCUUAAAAGAAAAGAAAAACCACUGUACUCUGGACCUUUGGGCUAGGAUCUUGGUUUGGUCAUUCAUCAGACAUUUUUCUGCUGUAAGUUAGCUAGUUGGAUCACUUUCCCACCCAGCAUCAGAGUUUCAUUUGCACUGAUUACCCCACAUUCCACAAAAAAAGUCAUUAGGAAUUCUGUUUCAGUGAAUAAAAGAAUGUAAAUGAGGUAAUUAUGAGCUCCACUUACCUUCCUAACCCCAUGCAUUGUGACAUCAUUAAUGCCUUCCCAUGAUCUGUUCACUGGAAAAGUCAGGAAGAUGGAAAAGCAACAUUGUUGGGAAAGAAGAUUAGAGUCAAGUUUACCUUUGUGUCUUCUUUUGGUGGGGGGAGAUCUUUUGAGAAUAAAGGAAGAAAAAGAGAAGAAGAAAACAAAGAGAAAGAGAUACAGGCCCAGUGAUGAGGACAGAGGCAAGGGCAGGAGUGUCUUCCUAUUGCUAUUGAUGAAUACAGCAGCUGGAGGGAGUAGGAACGAGGAUGAGGUGGCAGAAAUUAAGAGGAAGGAAAAAAAUCAUUUUCAAAAUGAUAAUGUGAGUGAUGAGUAAUAGGUAAACAAAUAUGACAUUUGGCAUUUGUACCAAUAGUAUUCUGUCUGUAAGCCCUUUCAUCUUUUUCUCUAGAUGUAGGCCAUCAGUUUUACACUAUAAUGCCCUUCUAGAUUUUAGAUAGGUUUUUUUGGUAACAGAAGUAAUAACUUCUUGAAUCAAUCAAUCAAUAAAUAGUGCUGAGUACAUAAUAAUUGUCUAAUA